rnacentral:rRNA from 1 species
GAAAAGAACCAACAGGGAUUGCCCCAGUAACGGCGAGUGAAGCGGCAACAGCUCAAAUUUGAAAUCUGGUCCCCAGGGCCCGAGUUGUAAUUUGCAGAGGAUGCUUUUGGUGAGGUGCCUUCCGAGUUCCCUGGAACGGGACGCCAUAGAGGGUGAGAGCCCCGUCUGGUUGGAUACCGAGCCUCUGUAAAGCUCCUUCGACGAGUCGAGUAGUUUGGGAAUGCUGCUCUAAAUGGGAGGUAUAUGUCUUCUAAAGCUAAAUAUUGGCCAGAGACCGAUAGCGCACAAGUAGAGUGAUCGAAAGAUGAAAAGCACUUUGAAAAGAGGGUUAAAUAGUACGUGAAAUUGUUGAAAGGGAAGCACUUAUGACCAGACUUGGCCCCGGUGAAUCAUCCAGCGGUUCCCGUUGGUGCACUUUGCCGGGGUUCAGGCCAGCAUCAGUUCGCUCCGGGGGAUAAAGGCUUUGGGAAUGUGGCUCCCUCGGGAGUGUUAUAGCCCAUUGCGCAAUACCCUGUGGCGGGCUGAGGUUCGCGCUUUAUGCAAGGAUGCUGGCAUAAUGGUCAUCAGUGACCCGUCUUGAAACACGGACCAAGGAGUCGUCUUCGUAUGCGAGUGUUCGGGUGUUAAACCCCUACGCGUAAUGAAAGUGAACGCAGGUGAGAGCCCUCCAGGGCGCAUCAUCGACCGAUCCUGAUGUUCUCGGAUGGAUUUGAGUAAGAGCAUACGGGGCCGGACCCGAAAGAAGGUGAACUAUGCCUGUAUAGGGUGAAGCCAGAGGAAACUCUGGUGGAGGCUCGCAGCGGUUCUGACGUGCAAAUCGAUCGUCAAAUAUGGGCAUGGGGGCGAAAGACUAAUC